ACCGCUGCAUGUACUCAGGUUUACCAGUGUACUCCAGUGUGUGAACCGCUGCAUGUACUCAGGUUUACCAGUGUACUCCAGUGUGUGAACCGCUGCAUGUACUCAGGUUUACCAGUGUACUCCAGUGUGUGAACCGCUGCAUGUACUCAGGUUUACCAGUGUACUCCAGUGUGUGAACCGCUGCAUGUACUCAGGUUUACCAGUGUACUCCAGUGUGUGAACCGCUGCAUGUACUCAGGUUUACCAGUGUACUCCAGUGUGUGAACCGCUGCAUGUACUCAGGUUUACCAGUGUACUCCAGUGUGUGAACCGCUGCAUGUACUCAGGUUUACCAGUGUACUCCAGUGUGUGAACCGCUGCAUGUACUCAGGUUUACCAGUGUACUCCAGUGUGUGAACCGCUGCAUGUACUCAGGUUUACCAGUGUACUCCAGUGUGUGAACCGCUGCAUGUACUCAGGUUUACCAGUGUACUCCAGUGUGUGAACCGCUGCAUGUACUCAGGUUUACCAGUGUACUCCAGUGUGUGCACCGCUGCAUGUACUCAGGUUUACCAGUGUACUCCAGUGUGUGAACCGCUGCAUGUACUCAGGUUUACCAGUGUACUCCAGUGUGUGCACCGCUGCAUGUACUCAGGUUUACCAGUGUACUCCAGUGUGUGAACCGCUGCAUGUACUCAGGUUUACCAGUGUACUCCAGUGUGUGAACCGCUGCAUGUACUCAGGUUUACCAGUGUACUCCAGUGUGUGCACCGCUGCAUGUACUCAGGUUUACCAGUGUACUCCAGUGUGUUAAGACCUGUUCAAUUAAAGUCUCUAAAGAAAGAAUGUGAAACUGUAUCAAAGACACAGGCCAGAUCAGUGUACAACAACAAAAAAUGUAUUUCAGAUA